GGUGAACGCUGGCGGCGUGCUUAACACAUGCAAGUCGAACGGAAAGGCUCCUGCUUGCAGGGGUACUCGAGUGGCGAACGGGGGAGUAACACGUGGGUGAUCUGCCCUGCACUUCGGGAUAAGCCUGGGAAACUGGGUCUAAUACCGGAUAGGACGAUGGUUUGGAUGCCAUUGUGGAAAGUUUUUCGGUGUGGGAUGAGCUCGCGGCCUAUCAGCUUGUUGGUGGGGUAAUGGCCUACCAAGGCGUCGACGGGUAGCCGGCCUGAGAGGGUGUACGGCCACAUUGGGCCUGCGAUACGGCCCAGACUCCUACGGGAGGCAGCAGUGGGGAAUAUUACACAAUGGGCGCAAGCCUGAUGCAGCGACGCCGCGUGGGGGAUGACGGCCUUCGGGUUGUAAACUCCUUUCGCUAGGGACGAAGCGCAAGUGACGGUACCUGGAGAAGAAGCACCGGCUAACUACGUG
rnacentral:rRNA from 1 species